rnacentral:rRNA from 1 species
UACGGAGGGUGCAAGCAUUAAUCGGAUUUAUUGGGCGUAAAGGGCGCGUAGGCGGGAAGUAAAGUCAGAUGUGAAAUCCCGGGGCUCAACCUCGGAACUGCAUUUGAAACUCACUAUCUAGAGGAUAGGCGGAGAAAACGGAAUUCCACAAGUAGCGGUGAAAUGCGUAGAUAUGUGGAAGAACACCGGUGGCGAAGGCGGUUUUCUAGCUUAGACCUGACGCUGAGGCGCGAAAGCAAGGGGAUCAAACAGG